AUUGAACGCUGGCGGCAUGCUUUACACAUGCAAGUCGAACGGUAACAGGUUAAGCUGACGAGUGGCGAACGGGUGAGUAAUGCAUCGGAACGUGCCCGAUCGUGGGGGAUAACGCAGCGAAAGCUGCGCUAAUACCGCAUACGAUCUGAGGAUGAAAGCGGGGGACCGUAAGGCCUCGCGCGAUCGGAGCGGCCGAUGUCAGAUGAGGUAGUUGGUGGGGUAAAGGCUCACCAAGCCAACGAUCUGUAGCUGGUCUGAGAGGACGACCAGCCACACUGGGACUGAGACACGGCCCAGACUCCUACGGGAGGCAGCAGUGGGGAAUUUUGGACAAUGGGCGAAAGCCUGAUCCAGCAAUGCCGCGUGCAGGAAGAAGGCCUUCGGGUUGUAAACCGCUUUUGUACGGAGCGAAAAGGCCCUCUCUAAUACAGGGGGUUUAUGACGGUACCGUAAGAAUAAGCACCGGCUAACUACGUGCCAGCAGCCGCCGCGGUAA
rnacentral:rRNA from 1 species